rnacentral:tRNA from 1 species
GCCAGGAGAGCAUGGGUGGUUCAUGCGCUCGACUUGUAAUCGAGAGACACCGGGGUUCAAAUCCCUGUCCUGGCU